CAGGACGAACGCUGGCGGCGUGCUUAACACAUGCAAGUUGAACGGUAUGACAUGGAAGCUUGCUGAAGUGUCAUAUAGUAGCGGACGGGUGAGUAAUGCAUGAGAAGCUGCCAUUGGGAGGGGGACAACAGUUGGAAACGGCUGCUAAUACCCCGUAUGCCGGAAGGUGAAAGGGAGCGAUCCGCCCGAUGAGGUGCUCAUGUCCUAUCAGCUGGUUGGUGGGGUAACGGCCUACCAAGGCGACGACGGGUAGCCGGCCUGAGAGGGUGAACGGCCACACUGGAACUGAGAUACGGUCCAGACUCCUACGGGAGGCAGCAGUGGGGAAUAAUUGGGCAAUGGGGGCAACCCUGACCCAGCGACGCCGCGUGGGGGAAGACGGCCUUCGGGUUGUAAACCUCUUUUGUACGGGAAGAAGGAAGUGACGGUACUGUACGAAUAAGUCCCGGCUAACUACGUGCCAGCCGCGGC
rnacentral:rRNA from 1 species